rnacentral:rRNA from 1 species
UACGGAGGGUGCAAGCGUUAUCCGGAUUUAUUGGGUUUAAAGGGUCCGUAGGCGGACUUAUAAGUCAGUGGUGAAAGCCUGUCGCUUAACGAUAGAACUGCCAUUGAUACUGUAAGUCUUGAGUAUAUUUGAGGUAGCUGGAAUAAGUAGUGUAGCGGUGAAAUGCAUAGAUAUUACUUAGAACACCAAUUGCGAAGGCAGGUUACCAAGAUAUAACUGACGCUGAGGGACGAAAGCGUGGGGAGCGAACAGGAUUAGAUACCCUGGUAGUCCACGCCGUAAACGAUGCUAACUCGUUUUUGGAGCGCAGGCUUCAGAGACCAAGCGAAAGUGAUAAGUUAGCCACCUGGGGAGUACGCUCGCAAGAGUGAA